GGGGGAUUAGCUCAGUUGGGAGAGCGUUUGGCUGGCAGCCAAAAGGUCAUCGGUUCAAGCCCGUUAUCCUCCA
rnacentral:tRNA from 1 species